GACGUAGGGCGCGAGCGUUGUCCGGAUUUAUUGGGCGUAAAGAGCUCGUAGGCGGUCUGUUACGUCCGCUGUGAAAACCCAGGGCUUAACCCUGGGCUUGCAGUGGAUACGGGUAGACUAGAGGCAGGUAGGGGGAGAAUGGAAUUCCCGGUGUAGCGGUGAAAUGCGCAGAUAUCGGGAGGAACACCGGUGGCGAAGGCGGUUCUCUGGGCCUGACCUGACGCUGAGGAGCGAAAGCGUGGGGAGCGAACAGG
rnacentral:rRNA from 1 species